rnacentral:rRNA from 1 species
AGUGAACGCUGGCGGUAGGCCUAACACAUGCAAGUCGAACGGCAGCACAGUAAGAGCUUGCUCUUACGGGUGGCGAGUGGCGGACGGGUGAGGAAUACAUCGGAAUCUACUUUUUCGUGGGGGAUAACGUAGGGAAACUUACGCUAAUACCGCAUACGACCUACGGGUGAAAGCAGGGGAUCUUCGGACCUUGCGCGAUUGAAUGAGCCGAUGUCGGAUUAGCUAGUUGGCGGGGUAAAGGCCCACCAAGGCGACGAUCCGUAGCUGGUCUGAGAGGAUGAUCAGCCACACUGGAACUGAGACACGGUCCAGACUCCUACGGGAGGCAGCAGUGGGGAAUAUUGGACAAUGGGCGCAAGACUGAGCCAGACAUACCGCGUGGGUGAAGAAGGCCUUCGGGUUGUAAAGCCCUUUUGUUGGGAAAGAAAAGCAGCAGGUUAAUACCCCGCUGUUCUGACGGUACCCAAAGAAUAAGCACCGGCUAACUUCGUG